AAAAGGGAGAGAAAGAACUGUGAGAGAGGAAGAGCAAAGAGAAUGGUUUUGCUGCACUUUGAGGAAAGAAAAAGAGAGUUUUUGCUACAAUUUUGGAGGAAGAAGAAAGCUGAAAAUUUUGAGCUGGAAAUUUUGGAGGUUUUGCUGCCAUUAAAGGGCAGCAAAGUGCUGCCAAUUUGUGCAGAAAAAUUGGAGCUAUUUGUUGC